AAUCAACGCUGGCGGCGUGCCUAAUACAUGCAAGUCGAACGCGAAAGUCCCGCAAGGGAUGAGUAGAGUGGCAAACGGGUGAGUAACGCGUGGGUGACCUGCCUUCGAGUGGGGGAGUAACGUUUCGAAGGAACGCUAAUACCGCAUGAUAUCCCGCCUUUCUAACAGGUGGAGAUCAAAGACUGGGGAGUCGCAAGACCUAGCGCUUGAAGAGGGG
rnacentral:rRNA from 1 species